rnacentral:lncRNA from 1 species
GGCUCAAUUUAAAUUUACUGCAAGGUUGAUUUAGAUCUGGAUUUGGGAGAUCAUCUGCCUUUUAAUUAGGAGAUAAAGCACACAUUCAAACUAUCUGCUUAAUUUUUUAUUUCGAUUUAUAUUGUAACAUGCUUGGGUUGUGACUGAGGUGAAACUUCUGUUUUAGAGCAUCAGAUUAAAGAUGAUUAAAAAAUACAUGACGGUACAUCACAAGAAAGAGCUUGUGAGGGCAGGAGAGGGGGCUGGAGCAUCAGCCAGACUACUGACAUCCACUCAUACAAACUACAAUCAAUCUCCCCCUCAGGCUUUUACAGCUGCAGAAACAAGCAAGAAAACAAGACCCAGCUGCAUGAGUGAGGAAGUGGAACAGAGGAAAUAAUUUCAGGCCUAUUAGAAAGUGGCAACAAACUGAAGAGAGAAAAGGAAGAUUUUUUCUCUCUCCAAAAGGUUCGAAGAUGAUACCAUAAAAAUGCAAAACAUGACAGAAAAUUAUAAUACAUUCAAAUUCUUCUUCUUGAAAUGCAGGAGAACAUACCAUUGAAAUGUAGGUUUGCUUGCAUUUCUCAUGACAUGCCAAUGGCAUUGCUAUCCCAUGACUCGAUAUAAGUCUCCAUGUGAUUAAUAUGCAGCUUCUUGCCAUGUGGGCAGACAUGUUGGGGACUGUUGGAGCUCUGUUUUCAUGUUUGGGGUGAAUCUUUGUAGCUUUGUAGCUUGGAAGAUUCUAGGGUGAAUCUUCCUUUGUAGGAAGGUUAGUGCAGGACUGUUGCCAGUCUUCUAAGAUGAAAUGCUGUUCACCCAUGAGAAAAAGUUCACGGUUGUUGCUUUAGACAACUGAAGUCCUAUUAGAUCAACUGGAAUUUUCAAAGCAUCACCCUUGCAGGAUGGACUACAUUGUUUUAACGGAUUUUUCAGCUCGUAGAUCCUCAAGUACACAUAGCUACAAAAUCUAAUCAGUGUAACACUAAAGAUUUCUGUGAUUCUUGAUGCUUUAGUGGACAAAUGUAUGUGAUAAAA